CCGCAGGUGGCAGAACGGCGAUGCAAAGGACUGUAAAUCCUUUUCAAGUAGGUUCAACUCCUACCCUGCGGACAA
rnacentral:tRNA from 2 species